CAUACUUAGGUGACCGUUCUCCCUUGCGAUUUUCUCAGGUUUUACUUCUUCCCGGGUUCAACCAAACCAAAAAAGACCACCUCCAGUUUCAGUGCUCGUCUCCACCUUCAACCUCUGUACAGAUCUGAUCUGACCGAUUUCAACUCCAAUCGCUCCCAUUUAAACCCAAGUUUCUGUAUUUUUCGAUCCCAAACAACUGUAGCUUUCGCUGAUUUCUGAAAGCUACUGAUCCAGUCACUUUUGUGGUUAUCAUCCUCCAUCGCACUUUCUUUUUAUGAACAAUUAGACUUCUGCCAGAAAACGUUCAGCUUUACUAUUUCUUGUCUAGUUAUCCAAGAAACAACCAUUGAUCACUUCCUACUGAUGCAGCCACUUUGCUAGAGACCAGAGGUAUGACUUCAGGUACGAGACUACCAACAUGGAAAGAAAGAGAGAACAACAAGAGAAGAGAAAGGAGAAGAAGAGCCAUUGCAGCAAAGAUCUUUUCUGGGCUACGAAUGUAUGGCAACUUCAAGCUUCCAAAGCACUGUGACAAUAAUGAAGUCCUUAAAGCCCUCUGCAAUGAGGCUGGUUGGGCCGUCGAGCCCGAUGGCACCACUUACCGCAAGGGAUGCAAACCUGCGGAGCACAUGGACAUUAUUGGUGGUUCUGCUACAGCAAGCCCAUGCUCCUCAUACCUCCCUAGCCCCUGUGCUUCCUAUAACCCAAGUCCUGGAUCCUCUUCCUUUCCCAGUCCAGUUUCAUCCUCCUAUGCUGCUAAUGCCAAUGUGGAUGACAAUUCCCUCCUCCCGUGGCUCAAAAACCUCUCAUCGGCUUCCUCUUCUAAGCUUCCCCAUCUAUACAUCCAUGGUGGCUCCAUAAGUGCCCCUGUUACUCCUCCCUUGAGCUCUCCAACUGCUAGAACCCCCCGAAUAAAAACUGGCUGGGAAGACCAACCAACCCACCCAGGCUGGUGUGGGCAGCACUACUUGCCAUCUUCAACUCCACCAAGCCCUGGCCGUCAAAUUAUUCCUGAUCCAGGAUGGUUUGCUGGGAUUCGAUUGCCACAAGGUGGUCCAACUUCUCCCACAUUCAGCCUGGUUGCCUCCAAUCCGUUUGGCUUCAAGGAAGAGGCUUUAGCUGGUGGUGGGUCCCGCAUGUGGACUCCUGGUCAAAGUGGUACGUGUUCACCUGCCAUUGCAGCUGGCUCUGACCAUACAGCUGAUAUUCCCAUGGCUGAGGUGAUCUCGGACGAGUUUGCAUUCCGAUGCAAUGCAACUGGGCUAGUGAAGCCAUGGGAAGGGGAGAGGAUCCAUGAAGAGUGUGGAUCAGAUGAUCUAGAGCUUACACUUGGGAACUCAAGAACCAGGCAGGUGGACAGGGCUUCAAGGUGAGAAUUGGUUUCAGAACCCUUCCACUUGGUUAGUUCCAUUGAAGAACUCCUACUACGGGUUGCCAGCCUUCAGUUUCUGGUUUGCCAUUGAAAAGUAACGCUCAAAUGGAAGGCAUAUCAUAGAGGGGCCACUUUAUAGGAGAUUAUGAUUGUCGUGGACCAGAUCUCUACCACCUUAUCACCUGAAUUCGAGAUGUUAGGAUGGAAUAUAUCAUAUAUCUUUUGGCCGAAACCUCGAGUGACCUGAUCGUUCAGGGGCCCAUCUGAGAUCUGACCAGGAGUUUCAUUUGUUAAAGACCGUGCAGCAUGCCUCCAUUGUGAGCUAGGCCCCUUCAAUUAACCAUUUCUCUACGUUUGUUUUCAAUCAAGUCUUUUUUUUUAUAUAAACCUGGUCCAUUCUUUGCCAGCCAGGGUACAUUCCUUGUCGCGUUUGUUGUUUGACUUGGGAAUUUACAAAAGUUUUGAUGUCCACCUAAAGCAUGUUCGUGGUGGAAAAUGCUUCUCAGCUUUUGUAUUUGUAGGGGGAGAGGGAGGGAGGGAGAGAGACUCUCACAUACAAUCGUUAAUGCUGUGUUCAUCAGCAAUGAAUUAUAGGGCAGGAAUUGUAAUAGCAAUAUAAAUUAUAGCAGCACAAUGUAUGUGUGCCAAGAUUUUGUGAACUGUACAAUCACUCACAAA